rnacentral:tRNA from 1 species
GGGUCUAUGGCCAAGUGGUAAGGCAUGGGACUGCAACUCCCUGAGCGUCGGUUCAAAUCCGGCUAGGCCCUCCA